rnacentral:rRNA from 1 species
UACGAAGGGGGCUAGCGUUGCUCGGAAUUACUGGGCGUAAAGGGCGCGUAGGCGGAUGUUUAAGUCAGAGGUGAAAGCCCAGGGCUCAACCUUGGAACUGCCUUUGAUACUGGGCAUCUUGAGUAUGGGAGAGGUGAGUGGAACUCCGAGUGUAGAGGUGAAAUUCGUAGAUAUUAGGAAGAACACCGGGUGGCGAAGGCGGCCAUCUGGCCUCGGUACUG